rnacentral:piRNA from 1 species
ACAAGCUAUACUCACCUGAGAGACCCUAGU